CCUACGGGUGGCAGCAGUGAGGAAUAUUGGUCAAUGGACGCAAGUCUGAACCAGCCAUGCCGCGUGAAGGAAGACGGCUCUAUGAGUUGUAAACUGCUUUUGUACGAGGGUAAACGCAGAUACGUGUAACUUUCUGAAAGUAUCGUACGAAUAAGGAUCGGCUAACUCCGUGCCAGGAGCCGCGAUAAUACGGAGGAUUCAAGCGUUAUCCGGAUGUAUUGGGUUUAAAGGGUGCGUAGGCGGUCGGGUAAGUUAGAGGUGAAAUCCUGAGGCUCAACUUCGGAAUUGCCUCUGAUACUGGUCGGCUAGAGAGUAGUUGCGGUAGGCGGAAUGUAUGGUGUAGGGGUGAAAUGCUUA
rnacentral:rRNA from 1 species